GCAGACAGCUCAGUUGGUUAGGGUGUGGUGCUGAUAACACCAAGGUCAUAGGCUCGAACCCCAUAUGGGACAGCUGCA